GGAUAUCUCGGCUCACGCAUCGAUGAAGAACGUAGCAAAAUGCGAUACUUGGUGUGAAUUGCAGAAUCCCGUGAACCAUCGAGUUUUUGAACGCAAGUUGCGCCCGAAGCCUUUUGGCCGAGGGCACGUCUGCCUGGGCGUCACAC
rnacentral:rRNA from 3 species